rnacentral:rRNA from 1 species
GUUAAGUCCGCAACGAGCGCAACCCUCGUCCUUAGUUGCCAUCAUUCAGUUGGGCACUUUAGGAAACUGCCGGUGAUAAGCCGGAGGAAGGUGGGGACGACGUCAAGUCAUCAUGGCCCUUACGUGUAGGGCUACACACGUGCUACAAUGGCAUUUACAGAGGGAAGCGAGACAGUGAUGUGGAGCGGACCCCUUAAAGAAUGUCGUAGUCCGGAUUGGAGUCUGCAACUCGACUCCAUGAAGUCGGAAUCGCUAGUAAUCGCAGGUCAGAAUACUGCGGUGAAUACGUUCCCGGGCCUU